UGAGGAACAUGACCUUCGGCGGGGGAUAGCCGGCCCAACGGCCGGGUAAUACCGCGUACGACCACAUGGGGACAUCCCUGAGUGGUGAAAGCAGCAAUGCGCCGAUGGAGUGCCUCGCGGCCUAUCAGCUAGUUGGUGAGGUAACGGCUCACCAAGGCGACGACGGGUAGCUGGUCUGAGAGGAUGGCCAGCCACAUUGGGACUGAGACACGGCCCAGACCUCUAACCGGGGAGG
rnacentral:rRNA from 1 species